GAUGAUCAAGAAUGAUUUUAAGGGGGAUAAGAAUGGGAAGUGUAAAUAUGAAGCCAGAACAGCAAUGACUUGUAAAAACAAAAAUCCCAAUUUAGUAUAUUGUUUGAUCAAAAUGAUAAGUUGUAUGACAGGGUUAGGGUGGUCUGCCUGUGGGUGAUACCCAACCACAAUUCUCCCCGCCCCCACACCGUUUUGUAAUGUUAUAUCAAUUUUUAUAAAAAUGAAAGUGCUUAAAAAUGUGGUUCAAGAGCAUCUUCUAAAAUGUUUCUGAGAUCAAUCUGUGUUCAUAGUAGCUAAUGAUAUAUAAACACUAGGAAAAAAGUCAACUUAAGGCAAGUGCUCUCACACACCUGAGUAAAAUCUGGCUUAUUACCGCUGCAUGUUUGGUGCAUCCGAUGAGAAUGAAAAGAAGUGUACAUAGAAUAAGAGGUUAUGGGUGUUCUUGCAAUUUACAUCAAAGCUAUGUCUAUACAAUGCCAAGAUAAAAGUUCAUUUAGUAAGUCAAAAAAGCUUCAUAUAGACACAGCCUAAAUUAAAAUAAUUGGAUUCAGUAAAAACCUACUGUUGAGAUUAUUCCCCUGUCUCCACACUGCCAGAAACUUACCACUUUUGCAACAUUUCUGACCUCAAUUUAUUCAAGAGUCACUAGUGGCUCAAGAGUUAAAAAUAAAGCAUCCUGGGUGUCUUUAGGAAAGACAUAGUAAGUGUAAAACUAUGAAUUCUAUGAACUGCUUUGCACGUGUAAGAAAAUGCAAGCUCACUAAAAUAAACAUCUAACCAGCAUCUUUCCCCCAUUAUAGGGCAAAACGGUUUAAUGCCCUCUCUUUUUAUAUUUACAUUGGACAAAUUAAGAGCAUCCAACAAAUGGAAUCAACCUAGGGCAAAGCACAGAAAAACUAUGCAACACUAAUAGAUUUAAAUCCAUUUAAUAAAUGACAAAGCAUAUAACUAAGUCAUGACUGAUAAUAAACUCUACUGUUAAGUUUUAUGCUCUAUCACUGAGAAAUACCAAACUAAAAAAUUACAGCUUAUUAAGGAACUUCUUGUGUUUUUCCAUUUAACUCCACUCCACAGGAGAGGAUAAUUUAGUCAGAACCCAUUUCAGAAUGUACUAAUACUCUGAUAUUUAGGGGUUAACUUGCAGCACCCUUGUCUUUCAUGCUUAUUUGAGUAUGGACAUAUUUCACCUCCAUCUUUUUCUUCCCACAUGUUAGGAGCAGACAAUACUAUGUUUAAGAAACUAAAUUUUAAACGAGAAUGUUAGUUUUUUAAAAUGGAGAAAUCUGGGGAAAACAUACACUGAAACAAAUUACUAUCAUGACGUUGGACAAAGUAUAAAUUGUAAUUUAAAAAAACAAAGAAGAGACCUUUGUAUUAGGCCAACCUAAGGGAUCUGAAAGAAGGUAUAAAGGGAAAAAAUUUUAUACCAAGUGAAUUCACACUGACUCCUUUCUUUUCACAUAUCCUAAUUAAAACUGUGAAAAUAUGUUACCUGGUUUCAUCUCAAAACCUUUAAAAACUUGAAAGUAGUAUAGACAAUGACAAAAAUCUAUGUUUUAGAUUAUCUAGAAUUAAAAAGUUCCUAUGAGGACUAAGUCCUUUUUAAACCUUACUUCAAAGGAUGCUGAGCUUUCUCUAAAAGUAAAAAUGUUAUGCACACUAUAGAUAACACUCCAAAUAGUCUGAAGAUGAGUAUAGAAGUAUUCAACUGAAGAAUACGUAUUUUAAAAAGACACUUUGGAUAGUGUUUUGGAAUGGGCAACAAAGGGUGAAAAAGUAAAAUAUGUAGGGGUUGGGUGGGGUAAUCUUCAAUUUCUAGAAACUAUUCCAGAGCCACCAAUACCUAUGCCCACAUGGUAUGAAGCACACUGGAAGUUACAGGACAUUAAGAAGAGGGUAGGCUGUAUAGAUGCCUGUAGAGAUUUGAGAAUUAAGUGCCUUCACUUAUAAUCCCAGCCAGAAAUCCUGAUGCUGGAAUGUGAUCUUAAGAGAUUUGAGCUGUUGGCAGAGCUGGCUACCUAUUAAAGGUCCAUGAGGACCUACAAAAAGCCAAAAAAAAACCCACUACCACCACCACCAACAACAAAAAACCCACAAAACAAAGCCCUUCAUGGCUUCUGAUAUGGAUUCAGAAUUAGGACUCCUUGUCCCAUAUUUUCCUGGAAUCAUAGGUAAGCCCAGGAAUAAUCUCUUAUGAUCUAACAAACCUGAGUAACAGGUAAAAUUUCUUACCAGAAACGAAACAAAACAAAAUCCUAACAGAUUAAGAAAUGUUGGUUUGAUUAGUAGUUAAGAUUUAUGCCUUUUUUAUUAUAAAUCCUGAAAUCAAGGUGAUCAACAAUAAAUUUCUCUUUGAAAAAAAAAAGUAAAAUGCAGUUAAAAUUACAUGCUUCCAUACCUUAAAAUAUGCUUAAAAAAAAAAACAACUAAUGUCAGUUUCCCAACCCAUAUUUCCCAAAUCAAUCAUUUUGGUAUUACUAAGCCUAUAAAUGAGCUCUAAUUUGGCAGAACAGAGUAUAUACUUAGGUUUUGCUUUGGGUUUAAUUUGCAAAAGUAAAUUCAACAAGUCUGGGGAGGGGAAAUUCCACCUACUUU
rnacentral:lncRNA from 10 species